GACGUAGGGCGCGAGCGUUGUCCGGAUUUAUUGGGCGUAAAGAGCUCGUAGGCGGCUUGUCGCGUCGUCCGUGAAAACCUGCGGCUCAACUGCAGGCUUGCGGUCGAUACGGGCAGGCUGGAGUUCGGUAGGGGAGACUGGAAUUCCUGGUGUAGCGGUGAAAUGCGUAGAUAUCUGGAGGAACACCGGUGGCGAAGGCGGGCCUCUGGGCAGUAACUGACGCUGAGGAGCGAAAGCGUGGGGAGCGAACAGG
rnacentral:rRNA from 1 species